CGGUCCAGACUCCUACGGGAGGCAGCAGUAGGGAUUUUUCCCCAAUGGGCGAAAGCCUGACGGAGCAACGCCGCGUGAGUGAUGAAGGGUUUCGGCUCGUAAAACUCUGUUAUUAGGGAAGAACAAAUGUGUAAGUAACUGUGCACGUCUUGACGGUACCUAAUCAGAAAGCCACGGCUAACUACGUGCCAGCAGCCGCGGUAA
rnacentral:rRNA from 2 species